rnacentral:lncRNA from 1 species
UUGUGACAUUCUGUGAGUCCAAUAUGUCUUUGGGAUACCACAUGGAGCUGUCAGAAUGUGAAGGUACUUCUGUUCCUUUACUUGAUUUUUAGAGAAAAAUAUCCUAUCAUGUAGCAAGUUAGUAGAGGCACAUCAUAGAUUUUCACAUGGACUAGUUCAAACUUACCUGUAGAGAUCUUGGCUUCACAAAAGCAUUUAAGGAGGGUCCGAUGAGAAAGGCAUGCACGAUAUCAGGGGACUUCUGAAGUGUCAAGAAGUAAGCAAGGUGAAUGAUAAUUGAGAAAGAGAAUGCACAAAGGACAAGACAGAACAAAGGAUUAGGCACUGACUCUAUUGAAAUGGUCUUUUCAGAAAUAAAUGGUUUUAAAAGGAACUGAAUUUUGCCUUUGGAGACCUAAAGGAACAUCUCUCUGGCAUAAUAAUUAAGUUGUCAAGACCGGAAUUGUCUUCUGAGAUAAUGAUAUUAAGGUUGCCUAUUUCUAAUGAAGUCAGAAUCUUUAUAGUCCUUGAUCUAUGUUUCAAGGUGUCAAAACAAUGCUGAUUAAAGCCUCUGUCUGAAAGAUGCGUUUCAGGUGGAGAGCACAGGCCUGUGAGAACACAUACUGACAUAACCAGCAUAGGGUUACCUAUAUAAGGAGAGGGAGUCAUGUAGGGAGGAAGAGAAUCAUGUCAGUUCAGUUCUUCCCUCCAUGAUUCUACCAAAAAACACCUGGGUAAUAGAACACUGAGCAUGGAGGUAGAAAGCUUGGUGUAUGAGUGCUGGGUAGUGCUGAUCAGAAGGAAAAUCUUAUUGUACUGUAGGUUAGAAAAGAUGGGGAUUUAGGUUUAGAAAGUGAUCAAACUGAAGAAAGACUCAGUCAUUUGUAGGAUAUGUGAGUCAAAACAACAAUGAUGUGCCACUUUUUAUCUGUCACAUAGGCAGACGUUAGAGGGGGUGAGCCAAGUGUCAGUGGUGAUGUGGAUAUGCAGGAGCCCUUGUGCAUGGCAGGUGGUGGCGAUGCCUGGAGAGACCACUCAGGAAAGCAACUUGCCAGCAAGCCUAAGCACAAUAGAGCAAUUUUGUUUUGGUUGCGGGUUGGGGAUGGAGAGAGGGGCUUUGCAUGGAUUGAUAACAUAUGAUCUGCGUUCCCAGGAGUCAAAGAAUUUAAGGAAAGAAAGAAAACAUGCUGAACCAAUGGGUUCAGGAACCUGUCUCUUCCAGCAAAAUAUUGUGAGACUAAGGCAUCAAUAUAAAGAGCUGCAUAUUAUUCCAGAGAGACUUGAUGCUGGGACCUACAGCUACUGCUUUAUAAUGGUGAGAUCUUGGGCAAGUAACCUACAUCCUAGGACCUGGUUUCCACAUUUGCAAAAUGAAAGCAUUCUACUAGAUGAAAACUUCCCUCCUAACUAACAUUCUGUCACAAUAGCGGUAGAGCUGGGACUAAAACUCAGAUUUUUCUCUUCCUCUUAUGUUGCACAACUGUUGCGUGGAAAGGGAUUUUAAAAAUAGAGUUCAAACCUGUUUGCCAUUCAGGAAAUCCUUUACAACAUUCUUGACAGUGAUCCUUCCAGACUCUGCUUAAAUACUUUGCCGGAGAACUUUGAGCUUUGUAAAGCAGUCCAUUCCUUUAUAUAAGAACCCAAACUGAGAGCAUGUGCUUGCUUACUUUGAACAGAAAUCAGCUUCCAUGUAACUUCUUUCCACUGGCUAUGGUUCUGCCCUUUGCAACGCACAGAGAUAGUCCAAUUCGUCUUUCACUUGACCGCACUUCAGAUUCGUUUUCUCGAGGAAAAUACUCUCAUUUCCUUGAAAUGACCUUGAAACAUUUGUUCUAGAUUUCCUGACUAUACUGCAUGUGUUCUUUGUAUGUUGCUGUUGAUGUUCCUCUAAAACUGUGGCACCCAGGAGAGAACACAAUGUGUGGUCCUACCAGAGUACAUUGGAAACAUUUCCUUUCUUUCUUCAUUUGAACAUCACAAUUUUAUUAACACAACCCAGAUCACAUCAAUUAUUUUAGCAGCUGAAUUAUACUAUUUGUUGGCUUAUAUGAAAU